UAUCCUUUAUCAAUAUAUAGUCUGGGGAGUAAUAGUAAAAUACUAAAAAACUGAAGAAUAUGGCGGUAUUUUAUUCUAUCAGGGGAACCUGUAUCUUAAUUUGACAGUCCACGGUUUAAAGGCCUAACCUUGAAAGCUAUCAGCAUGUGUACUGCCGUUAGUUAUAGAUUUUAAUAAUUCUGUCUAUAAAAUUACUUUAACUGAGUGAGAAGUCAGGUCGAAGUGCAGCUAAUGGUUAGGUGUAAUAUGGGUUACAAUUAUUUANAGAUUCAAAAAAAUUAAGUAGUUUGAUUUUUAUGAAGAAUUUGACAGUAAUCGAUAGUUAAUAACUAUGAUGAAUUUGAUUCUAAAAUAUGCACACAUCG
rnacentral:rRNA from 1 species